CAGCACCCUCACCUCAGCAAGAUAGCUGAGAAGAGCAGUCUGUGUACAGGCCCAGGGUGUGAGUGGAAACGCUGAUAGGAUCCAACCGAAUGCGGACCCAGAUGGCACCGUGCUAUGCAUUGUUCCCUGCAUCUACCAGUUCAUCUAUAAAUUUCAAAGCAGCCCUGAUGCGCAUUGUGAUGUGGCUCUAAUCACCAUGGCUCUGUCUCAAAGGAAUGGAUAAAACCAACACCUGACAUCUAGAUAUAUCAAAUGGAGUGUGAGAAGUUGAUACUGCCACCAUCUCGAAUGGAUGGGGAGGCCCCAUCCACCUACACAGCUACCCCAGAUGGAGCGUCAACCCCUCCUCUCCCUCUCCCGUCUGUUUUUCAGAAGACGGCAGAUGUUCUGCUGAUGUGAGGAGAAGAAGCAAACCACAACGGAGCUGGUUUGUCCAAGAGGACCCCAGCAGGAUGCAGAAGACAGAGGCCAAAAAUAACAACUCUGUACAGUGUGGCGAGUUUGUUUUCCACAAGGUUCUCCCAGCUUUAAUGGGCUGGGCGCAUGACUCAAAAUUAAUGGAAUGCAAUAAUUAAUUUCACUUGUCAAGUUUAUGUUACCACAUCUUCCGUGCUGGAAGUAGUGUCACAUCAUGCUGUGCCUUUAGUUUGUGGAGUAAUCUUGAAAUAUGUUCAGCCUGGAAAGAAGGCCUAAGUAUUUCCAGGUUGCUGCCUUAGAACUGAUGCAUACAAUAUAUUCAGAGGUGUGUUUUUUAACUCCGUGCAUUGUGGGGAAGAGAGGAACGCAGGGAUCUAUGUUGCUUUGAUGAGGCUACAGGAUAAAAGUGAUGCUUCUACUGGGAUAAAGCAGGCAAAGUUCAUACAUGGAAAAAACCUCUCUGCACAAUUCAGGUAUUCUGGUAACUUCAUUGUUCACACACAUGAAAAGCUGCCUCCACGCAUA